CCUUUUCCCAGGGUGUGGGUCCGUGGGUCCCCCAUCCCAUUCGUCACGGAACCGGGCCAAACGCCCAUAAACCGUUGACAAUAAUGUACUUAAAAGUUAGAAAAAAAAGAUACAAACGUAUUUAAUGAUGUCAUUUUCUCCUCCCCGUUAAAAAAGAGAGAAGUAUCUUUUUUUUUUUUUUCUUCCAGACAGCUGAAUCAAUUCUAACUAUACUGUAUAUACUACACAUGUAACAACAUAUAAAAUAUUGGAAAUUUUUGUUCCUUGGGGGAAAAGAUUGGAAAUAUUUUACUUGUGAGAAAUGCACAUUUUAGAGUGACAUUCUUUUAAUUUUCUGCUGAAGGAAAUGUAAACACAGUAUUCAUAUGAAUGUAAGAAUAUUCAUAAUAACCGAUACAUCUGCUUUGUCAGUAACCUAAAAUAAUUCUAUAUAAGUAAUUGUGAGCUUUAUUGUCUACAUAAUAGACAUGAGUUCUGCUAGUCAGCAAAAGUGAAAAUGGAACAAAAUAAAAGAAAUAAAGGAAAAAUGACAUUUAAGAUAACAUUUUAUUUUCAGAUAUGUAUCACAUAAGAAUCACUGUGAUCUUAUACCAGUCUUGCUUGCAUUGCCCCCUGUCUCAAAGACUUCUUUGAAACUGACAGUUUCGCAGAAUUUAUUUAUGUUUCCCUCUCUGUGUAAUUGGACUCUACAAUAUGUCUUCAUCUUCAGGCCUGGUUUGUUGUGCAUAGGUUCCUCAGGAAAAAAAUCUUUUACCCUUAGAGAGCUUGUUGUUUGUUAUGUAGACAUUUAUCAACCAGAAGUGAAAGAUUGUGUUUCUAACAUCUGAUGGUGCAAAUUCCUACUAUGGAAAAUUUAUUUUCUUUUCUUUAUCUAUCAAUAUUUAUUUGCAUUUAAGGAUUUGGCAAAAUUCUAAAAUAUUUACUGUUUAUUAGGUGAUUUUAAAAACGUAAUAGUGUUUGGUUUCUCUAUCUUUUCAGGUUAAACUAAUCUCCAGUUCAUGAAAAAUAACUUGUCUCACAAUAAGUUCCCUUUCUUAGGACUUUUAGCAUGUAAAAUUUAUGUUUCUGCCAAAUUGACAUACGUUACUUUUUUUUUCUUUUUUUCCAUUAGAUGUCUGCCUCAUAUAUGCUAGUACUGAAAAGUGGAUUUUAAGAUAUACUGUCACUUCAAUGAAUAAUAACUCAUCCUAGUGAAUUUCAACAUAUCACUAUAAGAAUAAAAAGUAGAGGAAGAAGGGGCUGGGAACAAGGCAGCAUGAAUGCCGAAUAUUUUGGUUUCAUUUAUUUAAAUACGCAGCCUAUGAACUGAAAAGGAAAUUACUCAUCUAAUUUAAUUUGGAUUUUUUCUUUUAUUUAAUGGUAAUUUAUAUCUAAUAUUUUUCAUUUAAACUACCUUUGAAUUUAGAGUAGUAAAUAUAUUAUGACUGACUGAUAACUAAAUGAAUACAGUAUGCAUGGCCAUAAUUUACGCUGUCACAUAAAAUAUAAAUUAUUGUUGGAAAUAAAUAAACAAAUAUAAAAAGUCCUGUAUCAGUGUAAUUUGCUGUCUAAUUUAACAGUGCAACUAUUCGGACUUUUCAGAAAUAUAAUUCACUGUUAAGACAAAACAGAGAGUUUGUACAUUCAAAAGUGUUAGUGGAUUCAGAAACAAAAACUGUACAAGAGGUGAAGGAUGAUCUGAUAUAGGACUCUCAAAACUGAUUUAAUUUAACAAAACACUGAUAGUGAAACAGAAGGCUGAAGAGCAUUAUUUCUACCCCACUACACAAAUCAUGUUAUCUUUUUCAUUGUGAGACUUUAGGAGUGGGAAAGUUAUCUCUGUUCUCAUUUAUUCUCUUUUGAGUGCCUUACAAUGUUCUACCUUACCCAACCUACUAUGGAAUUAGGCUUCUAGAACCUUUUAAUCAAGCUAUAAAUGCCAGAAAUAUAUCUGAAUACCUUUGGCUUCCUUUGUCUCAGGCUUUGGUUCACAGUGAUACUCUGUUUUGUAAUGCAUCUCUAACUGUCCCUAUUUCCUAUGUAUUGUUUCAGAUUUGCAGAAUUAUUUUGAUUUGUUUGCAUGAAACUAAUCUGGAUUUUCUGCUCAAAGUGUAUGGAGAAGACGUAACAGGUGUCUUCAUUGUGUCAUCAGGAUUUGAACAAUGACUACUUACAAACACAUUGCCAGUGUUUGAAUCUCCACCCAAAACUCAGCAGAAGUAAAAUUCACUUGUUUUGUAAAGUAUCAGUGCUGGGACAUGAGCCUUAUCUGACUGAUUUUCUGAUCAGUGCUAAAAUAAAUGAGAAGGCGGAACUGGCUUCAACAGACAUGGAGAAGACUGAGUAUUCCACAUCACAAUACCACAUAGUGCACGGGGAGUUAAAGUGUUAAUGCUGCAGUUUCAUGUAUUGUUCAUCGUUCCGGCUACCAUCUCAAAAAACAGAACUGCAGCUCCCAGAAGACUUCACUGUCCCUUCUCCUUUUUCCAUUCAGAGGGAAGAAUAAAACUGCUUGGGAGUGCUCAGCAGAAUUUUCUGUAAGGAAGAGAAGUCAAGGCUCAGGAAAGAAACACCGUGUGCCAGUGAGUAAGAAUUGUGACAGACGGCAGCAGAGGGGCAAUCUGACAAAAUGGCAUCUGACUUGGAAGCGCGUAUGAAGCGAAGGUGUGGAAUUGAUUUCCUCAUGGAGAAAAUAUUGCACUCGUUGAUAUUCAUCAAUGUUUGCUGAAUGUUUAUGGAAGCCCAGCAGUGGAUACGAGCACAGUGAAGCAGUGAGUGGUGCAUUUCAGCACCAGUGGUGACAGCGAAGUGAAAGACAUGUUCCAGCUGUCUCACCACAAAAUGAAGAGCAUCAUGAUCAGCUCAUCCAGACAAAUUGGUUAAUGGUUGUCACUAUGUUGAAAAACAGUGUUUUGUAGCCGAGAAUUCACUCUAUCAAAUGUUGUUAUUGUACUCUUUGUAUCUGUUGUAGUUUCCAUGGAAAUAAUAGAAGUAUUACUUUCAGAGAGACUUAUGUUUUAAAGUAAAGUCAUCAUAAUUGAAACUUUUAUUUAUGUCCUCUAACAAAGAACUAAAACAGAAAGAUCCAGUAGAAAUGUGUCUUGCUUUCACCUGGGAGUUGAUUUUCUUUUUUCCUUUGUAGUGUCUGAUAUGAUGCUAUAUUUUGGCUUUAGGAGAAAAACAAUAUUGAUAACAUUGAUGUUUUUACACUGCUGUAUAGAGCCAAGAACAUUUCAGUUUCUUUGCUUCUUGUACUGAUCCACCAGCAAGGGAGGCAGAGAAGCUGAGAAGGGACAGAACUGGGACAACCAACGUAAACUGGCUGAAGGGAUAUUCUAUACCAUACGACAUCAUGAAAAAAACUUGAAGAGCAAGGGGAGCUGGCUCAGUGGGUGGCCGCUAAUUGGGAACUUGUUAGGCAUUGGUCAGUAGGUGGUGAGUAAUUGUUGGUGGUGAGGAAUUGUAAUUCCUUCCUUCCUUCCUUCCUUCCUUCCUUCCUUCCUUCCUUCCUUCCUU